rnacentral:rRNA from 1 species
UACGUAGGGUGCAAGCGUUGUCCGGAAUUAUUGGGCGUAAAGAGCUCGUAGGCGGUCUGUCGCGUCGGCUGUGAAAACUCGGGGCUCAACCCCGAGCCUGCAGUCGAUACGGGCAGACUAGAGUGCUGUAGGGGAGACUGGAAUUUACGGUGUAGCGGUGAAAUGCGUAGAUAUCGUAAGGAAGACCAGUGGCGAAGGCGGGUCUCUGGACAGUUCCUGACGCUGAGGCACGAAGGUCAGGGGAGCAAACGGG